rnacentral:lncRNA from 1 species
CCCCCCCCAAAAAAACCCCCUUGCUUCUCUCCAAGGAGGGGGGAAGAGGAGACAGAGGAAAAUUCAAAAAGGUGGAAUCUGUCUCCAUCUCAUUUCAGAUCUUGACUUUUAUGAGCCUGCAAGUCAUACGCAGACACACAUACACAAAAAGAGGGGGGGGGGGAGGAAAGGAGAGAAAAAUCUUGUGAAAUGUGCGUGUGAUUAAUAAUCUAGCUUUUAAAAGACCAUCCUUCCCCAAGGCUGAGACAGAAGAGAAAAGAAUUUGCCUUUCACAAGAUCCGUAAGGAAUUGGAAGUCCCUUGGGAGUUUCUGCGUCCAGCAAAGUUUGGUUGGGGUUGUUUGAAUGGGGUGGAGAAGACGAGAGCGAUGGAUUUUUGGUGUGGCUGAAAUGACAAUAAAACCCUCCAGGAAUCUGGCUUCGUCAUUUUAGCUCUUUUCUCCCCCCCCCUCCCCGCCCCUUUCUCUCUGAUUAUAAUUCUGCUCUUUGCAAAGACCAAAUCGACGUUGCAAAUAUUAAUUAUUUGUUAUUAUAGCUACACACCCAGCAGGGAGAGAGAAUUUAAUCUAAACAAAACCUUAUUUCUCCCGCUCCCCCCACGCCAGGACAGAGAGGGUAUUUUUAAAAAGGAGGUUGUUGUUUUUUCUCUCUCUCUCCUCUCAAAUCCUCCUCUCAAAUCGUGGAGAGUUUGGGAGCCACGAAGAAACGGACCGAAUUCAAUUUCGAUCAUAGACGAGAGACUUCAAAAUACCUCUCCCGUUUUAUUGAUUCCUAUCCUUGCUGGGUGGAUUAACUUUCUCUCUCCUCCUCCAUUGACCUAUCUGCUCCCCCUUCCCUUCUUCCUGCCCUCGCCCCGAUCCCGAGUCUUCUCUACCACUCCUUCCUUCCUCCUUCCGCCCAUCCCGAGUCCUCUCCUCCACCACUCCUUCCCCCCAUCCCGAGUCUUCUCCUCUACCACUCCUUCCUUCCUCCUUCCCCCCAUCCCGAGUCUUUUCCUCCACCACUUCAUCCUCCUUCCCCCCAUCCCGAGUCCUCUCCUCCACCACUCCUUCCUCCCAUCCCGAGUCUUCUCCUCUACCACUCCUUCCUCCUUCCCCCCAUCCCGAGUCCUCUCCUCCACCACUCCUUCCUCCUUCCCCCCAUCCCGAGUCCUCUCCUCCACCACUCCUUCCUCCUUCCCCCCAUUCCGAGUCCUCUCCUCUACCACUCCUUCCUUCCUCCUUCCUCCCAUCCCGAGUCCUCUCCUCCCCCACUCCUUCCUCCUUCCUCCCAUCCCGAGUCCUCUCUUCCACCGCUCCUUCCUCCUUCCCCCCAUCCUGACUCCUCUCCUCCCCCUCUCCUCCUGCCCCGGCCCCUCCCCCC